rnacentral:tRNA from 1 species
GCCGCCGUAGCUCAGCUGGAAGAGCGGCGGACAUCGCCAGACCGGAAUUGUAAUCCGCAGGUCAGGGGUUCAAAUCCCCUCGGCGGCUCCA